rnacentral:lncRNA from 1 species
CCAUGUCGCUCAGUUCAACCUCGCCGGCCAACGCGGUCCACCACGUCGCCUGGAUUCCAAUCCAACCCGCCAUCCUGCUCGACCAAGUUCCUCCACCUGUCUCGGCUACUACCUGGACCACCACCUGCCCGGUCAUUGUGGCAUGUGGCUGCCCAGCACAUCGACGCCUGCAAGGUCCAUCCUCUCUCCAUCUUGCUUACCUGUUGUUCCAUGCGGCUGUACUAUGCCCAGUUUCUGUAUUGUUUCUAAGUGACUUUCUUGUCUGAAGUUCAGACAUAUUUGCAGGUGCAAAAAAGUUGGAUGUAGUGAUAUGUUCGUUCAGUUUCACAGGUCCUUCAAUAUAUGCAAAAAAGAGUUUUCUCCAAAAUGCAUCAACGCCGUGAAGUGCUAAUUCUUCUUGUGUGCUUCUGUAAAGCCUUGUGUUUCAGUCACCUCCAUGACGAACCAGCUCGUCCUAUUUUGCAGAAGCAAGUCGCACGAUAGUUUUUAGGCGGAAUGAAGUCCAGAGGUAAUGGGGAAUCAAGAUUCCGAGAUAUUUUUUAGUACAUUCAGAUCACUUUUUCAGUGCACUGCAGCCAAAUCCGUUCUGAAGGCCAAACUGCUGACGUUUUGUUUUGAUUUUAUUUUACAAAGGAAGUUGCUAGCGGUGGUAGAACUUGGGAUUUGGGCACACAAGGAAGAAGACGAAAAAAGAAAAAUGGUGAGUUGGAGAUUGCAUGUUCGUUGCACCGAAGGAUAAUAUCAUUUAGGUUUUAGCUAGAUAACACCUAGUGGGGUAAAAAAAGCAUCGCUUUGUCCAAAAUCCGCUGGUCAACUUUUUGCUCUGUUUAAUGGUUUGGUUCACACACUAAAUUCUUGAUUGUUUCUUUAUGUAUGAGCAUCAGACUUGAUUUAAUUGUGACGUGGUUCACUGACAGUAAUUUUAUCAGUUCAAUAAUAUAUGUACAAGUUGACCUCCUAGCGAUAUAUAUGCAUAGGAAUUUUGUUCUCGGCUUUGUUUAUUGGUGCAUGCGAGAUGUUUUUCAUGUUAUGGACUACCGAAGUAGUUCAAAAAUCACUCACCACGAAGAGAACGGAUGAGCAACGCACAGGCCGUUCAACUUCGCCGCCUCAGGCCGUGCUACUCCGCCCAAGUGAGCAAAAGGGGACUAGUUUCUUCUUAACUUUUAUUCUGCACUUGUAUGGUACAUUUUGUCUCAGUUAUUAGGUGAUUUUUUUCUUUCACUUACAUUGUGUUCAACAAUGCAGAAAAGUUUGCCUACAAACUGUUCCGCCCAAGUGCUAUGCAGCCGGGCCGAGGGAGCAGUGCCAAGCUGCAGCCUUGAUGCUGUUGACAGCCACGUGCUCCAUCACGGGCGGUUCAAAAAUACUAAUGCUAGUCGGCCGUAUAGGUUCAGUAGUGCUAUAAUGCUUUUGGUCUUGAUGUUUGGCCGUACUUGAGGUUCCAUGCUUGAGGUUCAGCUUGGUACAGUAUAUGGGAGCAGUUUGGAUUUGGUAUUUUUCUACAAUUUGGCACCAUGUUAUAUGUAUUUUAAACUGCACAAAGUAUAUAACACUUAAGAGUCAAAUUUGUUUUGCAAGUGCGGAUGCUCCAUAGGUGCUUGUUGUAAUCCAAAACCCAUUGAAAACACAGUAGAGUUCGUAUGUUUAAAAAGCCUUGGAAACCAAAAACGAAAUUCAACAAACAAAAAUACUCGCGAGUUCUUUGCAAAAACCACAUGAAGUUUAAUUAGUAUAAUUUUAGAGGUUCAAGUAAUAUGAGAACGCUAGAAGUUCACAGAAGGAAAAUACUGGCGUGGCUUCGCACCAUCCC